rnacentral:rRNA from 1 species
GACGAACGCUGGCGGCGUGCCUAAUACAUGCAAGUAGAACGGUGAAGCGAGGAGCUUGCUCUUUUUGGGUGAGUUGCGAACGGGUGAGUAACGCGUAGGUCAGCUGCUUUGUUGUGGGGGAUAAUUAUUAGAAACGAUAUAUGAUACCGCAGAACAAUGGAUGCCAUAUGUCAGUUAUUAGAAUGGGGCCAUUGCCGCACUAAAGGGUGGAUCUCCGUUGUGUUAGCUAGUAGGUGAGGUAACGGCUCACCUAGGCGAAGAUACGUAGCCGACCUGAGCGGAGGAUCGGCCACACGGGAACGUCGACACGCCCCUGACUCCUCCGGUGGGCACCAGUGGGGAAUCUUCGGCAGUGGGGGCAACCCUGGCCCAGCACGCCCGCGUAGGUGAAAAAGGUUUCCGGGUCGUAAAGCCCGGUUUUAGGUCAAAAACAGCUUUAGGAUGGGAAGCAGCGCCCUUGACGGUAAUCUAACAAGAAGCACCGGCUAACUACGUG